rnacentral:rRNA from 1 species
GACGAACGCUGGCGGCGUGCUUAACACAUGCAAGUCGAACGGAAAGGCCCUGCUUUUGUGGGGUGCUCGAGUGGCGAACGGGUGAGUAACACGUGAGUAACCUGCCCUUGACUUUGGGAUAACUUCAGGAAACUGGGGCUAAUACCGGAUAGGAGCUCCUGCUGCAUGGUGGGGGUUGGAAAGUUUCGGCGGUUGGGGAUGGACUCGCGGCUUAUCAGCUAGUUGGUGGGGUAGUGGCUUACCAAGGCUUGGACGGGUAGCCGGCCUGAGAGGGUGACCGGGCACAGUGGGACUGAGGUACGGACCAGAGUGGUACGGGAGGCAGCAGUGGGAAAUAUUGUACAAUGGGCGGAAGCCUGAUGCAGCAACGUCGCGUGCGGGAUGACGGCCUUUGGGGUGUAAACCGCUUUCGCCUGUGACGAAGCGGGAGUGACGGUAACGGGUAAAGAAGCACCGGCUAACUACGUG